rnacentral:tRNA from 1 species
AUCAAGGCGGCAGAGGAUGCGGUAGAUUUAAGCUCUAUUUACAAGAAUAUUCUUUCUUGAUA